UGGCUUUCCUCCUUGCCGCUUCUCUUCCCUACCGUUCCUUUCUCGAGCUUUUGCUAUUCCUGACGGUGAUCAGCAACGUGGGCAGGAUGGGAAACCCUCCAAGAUCGAAUUUUUAGUCGAUUUUGACUCGAAUCCCCAUGUGGGACAUUUUAUCCUGUGGGAAAGGUGUUUUUUUGCGGAGUCUUCCGUUUCUGAUGAUGAUUAACUCCGUUCGCGAGACUCGAAACCCUCCAAGAUUGGAUCUUUGAGCGGUUUCCGUCUCUCCUAUCUCCGCACCAAAAAAUAUUUUGUCCUUCUAUUUUUGGAAUUUAUGUAUUGAUGUACUCUCAAAUUUGUGAGGGAGGUUGUCUGUUCUUUCUUCUUCAAAUUGUUUUGUAUUAUGAAUUUGAUGAACUUUACAUGCCUAUCGAGCUGUUCGGUUCUUUUUCGUUUUUUUUUUAAAAUAAAAGAUACAAAACCGUUCUUCCCACUUCACUUAAAAAGGCUUGGAGUUUCUGCAAAUGGGGAAGUCAUAUUUUUAGUGUUGUUUUAAUUCGUUAACAUAUUAUCAUAUUGCUGAAGUGAAAAAUUUGUGGUUUAUGAAGCAUCAUUUUUUUUUAAUAAUUCCAAACGGUUUUGUUAAAGUUUGAUAUUGAUUACUUCAUUUUGGGAUUCAAUAUUGGACUAACCCUAUGAAGCAUCCAUCGUUUCUCAUUCUCAACUUUGCCAUGGUGGGUGUAUUCGGCCUUGUAAGAGAAGAGAUGGUCGUUUGAUGGUCAAAUAUUCGGAUGUGCAGUUUGGAUACCACGGAACUUUUAUUGAUGGUGAACGCAAGCUCUCUGUUGUCUCUCAAGUUUUCUCUCCUUGGCAUGAUUUUACUGGACUUGCUACAUAUGCCACCGAAAGAUAUGUGGAUGUUGGGCAGCCAACUUCCUUAUCUCACCCUCAGUUAUUAGCAGAAGGGGAAAUUACACCAGGUAUCACAUGUGAUGAGUACAUCUCAAGAAGAAAAAGGCUUUUGGAGCUGCUUCCAGAAAAGAGCUUGGCUAUAAUUGCAUCUGCACCUGUAAAAAUGAUGACAGAUGUGGUGCCAUAUCCAUUUAGACAGGAUGCUGAUUACCUCUAUAUAACAGGUAGCUCACAGCCUGGUGGUGUAGCAGUUUUAAGUGAGGAAUGUGGCUUAUGUAUGUUUAUGCCCGAUCCAGAUCCUCAUGAUGUAGUUUGGCAAGGUCAGGUUGCUGGAGUUGAAGCAGCCUUGGACUUUUUUAAGGCUGAAAAAGCAUUUCCAUUGAGUAAGAUGCACAAGAUCCUUCCAGAAAUGAUUGGACGAGCAUCAAGAUUGUUCCAUAAUAUAAAGACAGCCUUACCAUCUUAUAUGGAGCUGGAGGCCUUUCGCGGGGCAAGUCUCAACAACAAAGUGAAAGAUCUUUCACGUUACACUCAUGAAAUGCGAUGGAUAAAAUCUCCAUCUGAACUUAAGUUGAUGAGAGAAUCUGCAUCAAUUGCAUGCCAGUCCCUGUUGCAAACAAUGUUGCUUUCGAGGACAUUUCCAGAAGAAAGCAAGCUAUCAGCUAAGGUUGAAUAUGAUUGCAAAAUGAGAGGGGCUCAAAGAAUGGCGUUCAAUCCAGUAGUUGGUGGUGGGGCAAAUGGAAGUGUUAUACACUAUUCAAGAAAUGAUCAGAAAGUCAGAGCCGGGGAACUUGUACUGAUGGAUGUUGGGUGUGAGUUCCAUGGUUAUCUCAGUGAUUUAACCCGCACCUGGCCACCAUGCGGUAGCUUUUCCUCUGCUCAGGAAAUAUUAUAUAGUCUCAUUUUAGAGACAAAUAAGGAAUGUGUGAAGCUCUGUAAACCUGGUGUGAGCAUUCAGCAGAUACAUAAUUAUUCGGUUCAAAUGCUAAGGAGAGGACUCAAAGAGAUCGGAAUCCUGAAAGAUGAGACCAGUUACUCUUAUCAUGAGCUGAAUCCAACUUCAAUAGGGCAUUAUCUAGGAAUGGAUGUUCAUGACUCAGCCAUGAUCAGCAAUGACCGUCCGUUGCAGCCAGGUGUUAGUUUUUGACCGUGCUAUAUGAUUACAGUUAAGGGGAGUUGUUUCUUCAGAAGUUUUGCACUGAUGAGCUUGCUUUGGGCAGGUGAUAACAAUUGAGCCUGGAGUUUAUAUACCCAUAUCCUAUGAUGCAAAAGACAGGUUUCGGGGGAUUGGAAUAAGGAUCGAGGAUGAAGUCCUUAUUACUGAAACUGGUUAUGAGGUUCUUACUGGAUCAAUGCCCAAAGAGAUUCCGCAUAUAAAGUCUUUGCUGAAUUUUGCUCAUAGUACAGCUACAGAAGUCCCCGACUUGAGUGCAGUAUUCAGUUAAAGCUCCCUCAAACAUGCUGGGAAGAACUUAUUCAAACAUACAUGGUUUAAUAACCAUUAUUAUUAUUAUUAUUAUUUAUGGCAGAGAGAGAGGGAUGAGUUAAGCUGACAAUGACAGUAUGAGGGCUUGGGUGCAGCUUCGUCAGAUUGAUUAUAUCAGAAGAGGACUGAAAUAACCCCUGAUUUAAGUAUAAAAAGGUAGUAAGGCAUUUGGAAGCCCAUUUGUUUUUAGCUUUUUCAGCUUGAUUUUUCGAGUCUGCAAUCAUACUCUCACUAAAGGUCCAUUGAAGCUUUUGAAUCAUCUUUCUUUUGGUUAGUCCUUGUUCUUAAUCAAGAAUGUGCUCACAAAGGUAUUUGAUCGUCGGAACAUCAGUGAACUUGGUCUCUCUCUUGAAAUUGAUUCAUGAUAACAGCAGAAGGCUAAUAUUGUGGA